rnacentral:ncRNA from 1 species
UUAAGGGGUGCCACAGCAAUUGGCUGUUGGCUGAGAUCAUACCCUCUGACCUGAACAGGGUAAUGCCUGCGUAGGGAAAAAG